ACACCGAGAGAGAGGGAGAGAAUGAGGGCAGAUGUGGAGAGCCGGAGACCCGGGCCGCGAGCGGGUAUUUGCCAGGGUCCAUUGUACUCACGCUGGGGGUGCUGAAGACCUUCUUUUACUGGUUCUGGUUAUCAGUCAAACUCUAGCUGACCUUUGGACUUAUUAAGCAAGUGGUUUGCAGCCUAGUAUGGAAAGCGCGGGGCUUUUUCACCGCCUGCGGGUCCGGCCCUAGUCCCAAGAGAGGACACUGAGCUUCGGGGGUUCAGGAGGCACUCAGCAGCCGAAAGUCAAGCACUCAGCUUACUGAAUAUUAAUUAUUCAAAUGCCUCUGGCCAUAUGGGAAUUGUUCAGCCGGUGAUGAAAUGAAGGCAAUGCUCCAGUGCCAUUGGACACGUCAGCUCCUGACCUUUCAAUCGAUGAGACACUUCCCACAAACAGAGCCAUGAAAGCCCACUGGUUUUCUCCCGGCCGGCUGAGCUCCUUGUGCAGUGAGCAACUUGGACAACCUCCUGUGAUGGCCCUGCUGUAAUCUCCUCUUGAGCAGAAUGUUCUGGCUUCUUGGCUCUCCCUCACAGCUGGAAGAUUCCUGCAUCCUAGAAAGAGGCCCUGCUCUCUCUCCUCAGAGGAUACAUAACAGACAGGAUCCCUGACUUUGUGUGCAUUUGAAUAGAGAGCCCGUCCAGAAGGUCAUUAACCCCAUCCCAUCCUCACUGGAUUCUCCUGGUUUCCCUGCAACUAAUACCACAAAGAGUUGAAAAAUGCAUCCUUCUUCUGAUUUCUGGAGGUGGCAGGAAGUAGGGGUGCCUACAGUGGUCACAGGAAGGGUUCAGAGAAGAAGAUGCUUCUAUAGCUGAUCGCAACAUUUUGAAGAGCAGGAGACCAGAGAAUUCUUCCUGGAAACUUGGGUCUGGUGUUUCCCUGCUCCACCCAAAGCAGGCAAAACAUGAUAAAAGGGAGAAGAGGUCACCCCAAGGAAAAUAAGCUGAGCCACCUACAUGUUGACAAUCAGAGUGUCUGUCAAGUUACCCAGGGACCAGGCUGCUUUGGUCCGGACAUUCAGAGACUUGUCUUGAAGUGACAUCAAUAUUGCAUUUGCUGUAUCAGCAACAAAUAUGACAUCCUAUAAGAUAAAAUAAAACAAAUCAAAAUACUAUAGUUACUUUAGGAGUUCCCACUGGUAUCUUUGAAAUUUUCAAAUUUAUUUUCAGAUAAAGCUAACCUUU